rnacentral:sRNA from 1 species
CUGACAGCCCUAGCAACUGAAGCCUUCUCUUUAUUCACAGGAAAAGCACAGCACAGGCAAGCAGUAGUGAAAGUUAGCCCAAAAGACCUUGCUAAUGUGCCUCUGCCCUGACCUGGAGGGGACUCCCAUGUAUGGGUUAAAAGGUGGUUCAGUCUCUGUGCCUACUUAUUCCUUUGCCUUG